rnacentral:rRNA from 1 species
GUUAUACAAUAAAUAUUAAUUAAUAUUUUUGGUUUUGAAGUUAAAUUUAUUUCUAGUUUUAGAAUUUAAUAUAUUUAUUUUUAGGUAAAAUUUAAAUUUUUAUUAAUUUUUAUUUGGUUCUGUUGAAAUAUAUAAUAUAAACUAGGAUUAGAUACCCUAUUAUAAUAUACUUAAGUUUUAGCCAGGGUAGUAUUAGUUAUGUUCUUUAAACCUAAAGAAUUUGGCGGUGUUUUAGUCUAUUUAGAGGAACUUGCUCCUUAAUCGAUAGUCCACGAUGUAUCUUACUUGAAUUUGUAUUUUAUUUCAGUAUGUAUACCGCCGUUAUAAGUUUAUUUUAUUAGAAAAAGAAUUUACUUUAUUCUUAUUUUUGANUUAUUUC